rnacentral:misc_RNA from 1 species
UCGGCGAUUUCUGUACGGUUUGCUUGGCUCAUCCUCCUUUUACUCUGCAAACUCGACGGCAAGGCUGAGCUUUACAAGGACGUGUCUCUAUCAUAUCUGUUUCUUGCUAAUAAUCUCCAAUACGUGGUUAACAAAGUCCAAAAAUCAAGCUUAAAAUUCCUUAUCGGCGAUGACUGGAUCACGAAACACGAGGCUAAGGUGAAACAGUACGCACUGAAUUACGAGCGCAUGGUGUGGAGCAAGGUUUUCUCUUCGUUGCCAGAGAAUUUAGCGUCGGGGAUGACGAUUCACGAAGCGGCAGAGUGUUUCAAGAGAUUUAACUCCGCUUUCGAGGAGGCAUACAAGAAGCAAAGUUCGUGGGUGGUGCCGGACGCUAAAUUAAGAGACGAGAUUAAAGUAUCGGCGGCGAAGAAGCUGGUGCUGGUAUAUCGGGAGUUUCACGACAAGUAUCGUGAGGUAGUAAGGAGGGAAAUUGGAAGCAUAAGUAAUGUCAAAUUUACCCCUGAUGAUUUGGGGAAUUAUUGUCGGAUUUGUUCUUUGGGAACAACGGUGGUUCCGGAAGUAUUUCGUCGGCUUCAUCAACGUCGUCGUUUUCUUCAUCGUCGGGUCAAUCCCGAGGUGGGAAAAGCCGUUGAUGCCGCUGUGGAAUCAUUUAGGCGCCUAAAUUUAAAAAAAUAGAAAAAAAAAAAGAAUAAAGACAAAGGAGCGUGUACAUUUUGGAGCAUAGGACCGUUGAGAUACCGCAACGGCA